UGACAGAAGUGUACAUGCUGUUCUUCCAAGCCACCGUACCAACUUUCACUUCUUUCAACUUGCUGCUUCAGAGAGAGCAGUCAUCAAUAUUUUUGUUACAUGAUGAGAUGGUGAAAUUCGUACGCAAGCUAUGUUCCAAGUUUAUGGUUCCAGCAGCUCUGCAGUGCCAUGAGGAGCCUUGUGAAAUUGCCUUUAAAGAAAAGGCAAACCAUUUACCAGGAAGAAAGUUGAACAUUGGGUUCACAACCAGGGCUAAACUUAACAGAUUACUCGACGAGGGUGACAUCACACCACAGCAGGUGGAUUCAUUCCAUGAAGCUGUGUUGUGUUUCCUGACAAGUGCUGUGGACUAUGCACUUAAGAAGCUGCCACUGUAAGAGCC